UACGGAGGGUGCAAGCGUUAUCCGGAUUCACUGGGUUUAAAGGGUGCGUAGGUGGGUUGGUAAGUCCGUGGUGAAAUCCCCGAGCUUAACUCGGGAACUGCCGUGGAUACUAUCAACCUUGAAUAUUGUGGAGGUAAGCGGAAUAUGUCAUGUAGCGGUGAAAUGCUUAGAUAUGACAUAGAACACCGAUAGCGAAGGCAGCUUGCUACACAAUCAUUGACACUGAGGCACGAAAGCGUGGGGAGCAAACAGG
rnacentral:rRNA from 1 species